rnacentral:rRNA from 1 species
UACGUAGGGUGCAAGCGUUGUCCGGAAUUAUUGGGCGUAAAGAGCUCGUAGGCGGUCUGUCACGUCGGCUGUGAAAACCCGAGGCUCAACCUCGGGCCUGCAGUCGAUACGGGCAGACUAGAGUUCGGUAGGGGAGACUGGAAUUCCUGGUGUAGCGGUGAAAUGCGCAGAUAUCAGGAGGAACACCGGUGGCGAAGGCGGGUCUCUGGGCCGAAACUGACGCUGAGACGCGAAAGCGUGGGGAGCGAACAGG